rnacentral:rRNA from 1 species
CUACGGGUUGCUCCAGGCGCGAAACCUCUACAAUGCACGCAAGUGUGAUAGGGGGAUCCCGAGUGCUCAUGCAUUGCAUGGGCUUUUGCUAAGUGUAAAUAGCUUGGCGAAUAAGUGGUGGGAAAGACUGGUGCCAGCCGCCGCGGUAACACCAGCGCCACGAGUGGCAAUCACGUUUAUUGGGCCUAAAGCGUCCGUAGCAGGUUUUGUAAAUCUCUUGUGAAAUUGCCAGGCUCAACUUGGCAACGUGCAGGAGACACUGCAAGACUGGGGACCGGGAAGGGUUAGAGGUAUUCCUGAGGGAGCGGUAAAAUGCUAUAAUCUCAGGAGGACCGCCUGUGGCGAAGGCGUCUAACUAGAACGGAUCCGACUGUGAGGGACGAAAGCUAGGGGAGCAAACCGGAUUAGAUACCCUAGUAGUC